rnacentral:misc_RNA from 1 species
UUAAGUUCAGCGGGUAUUCCUACCUGAUCCGAGGUCAACCUUGAGAAAGUUUCCCUGUGAAGGGAGAAGACCGGAGCCUGGGUACCCAUGCGUCCGGUACGUGCUCAGUUAAGAAGCUCAGUGUACCGGGGGUCCCGCGAGGCCGCCGUCAUUGUCUUUAGGAGGGGUCGAGGGGACUCGACCAGGCCGUCCAACACCAA